UGGCAGUAUGAAUACAUGCUUACAGUUCCAAACGUGCCUUCUCUUCAACCCCUAUUACAAGUUCAGCAGCACUUCAUUCAAACUUUCUUUAGUGCUCUGUGUGCACUGCAAUCCAGACAUGCAUACUAACAGGCUUAAAAUCAGGCUGACAU